rnacentral:lncRNA from 10 species
GCGGAAUCACUUCCGUGUACAGAUGGAACAUCCAGAGGCAGCAGCGACUGUCCUAUGGCCACACAGCCAGUCAGUAGCAGAGCUGAGGAUCCAGUCCAUAGUGACGUAGCUGCCAUCGGGGCAGGGCCCCAAAGUCACCAGAUGCUCUGGAGUCGGCUCAGUCGGAGGAGGAAGUGGACGAGCUGUCCCUCAUUGACCACAACGAAAUUAUGUCCAGGCUGACGCUCAAGCAGGAGGGUGAUGACGGGCCGGACGUCCGCGGAGGAUCUGGGGACAUCUUACUGGUCCAUGCUACUGAGACUGACAGGAAAGGUAGGGUGUCAGUGAGCUCACUAGAUUGGGGCUGGUCCUGCCCCGGGUGCCACUCGGCCUCCCACCGCUAUCCUGUCCCCUCCUGGCAGCCACAGCCCUGAGCAGGUCUGAUCAGCAGUCCUGGUGCGCCUGAGUCAGAGCAGGGAGAGCCCACCUUGGAAGACAAGUAGAUCAUGUUCAACUCCAGGCGUGCGUGGCAUCUGUCCUCCGCUGGUACAAGGUAGUGACCCCAGGGCCUCCAGGGUCCUUGAGGGGCUCAGCGCAUACUAAGCGCACCACAGACAGCGCCUUGAGUGAUGGCAUGUCACCCAGUAGUACUAAACUUAAGAUAACAUGCAGGUACCUUUUGAUUCCUUUCCUGACUGCUGAGUCACUCUAUUGUUGCAGACCAUUAGACCGGACUUCACUCACAUACUCCACGAGGAAAUUCUUGAAGGUUUGUUCUGUCCAGGAACCUUCAAUUCUGUAGCAGUGGCCUCAGUUUCACAGCACACAGCUGCCCCACCCUACCACGCAUUCAGUGUGCUGAUUGAGAGGGCUGGAAAAGCAGGGACCGUCCCCUAAUCCCUAAAACGUCUUGUUGGGUGGACUCUGCUAGCAAAGUCAUUCCCAGUCAUGCUCUGGAAAGGAGGUGCUAGUGACCUGAUGGGGCAUGGCCACAGCACCCUUCACUGCCUGCCCUCAAGGGGCCAGCACCACCUGGCCGGCCAGUCUCUCCACACGCUGCUUCUCUUUUUACGUUUAAAAAAAUGAUUUAAAAGAUGAUGUCAGAGCAAUGGUGAAGUAAAUUGUGGAGGGAAUGAAAACACCCCCACCUUGAAAUCCUAGCCCAACCCGUUUCAUUUCUGUAAGGGACUCUGUCCCUGUGUUUCCUCAGCACGUUUCCCAAAACAUGUGACCCAGAGUGACUCGGGGAAUUUCUGAAUUAUGGAAGUAGUACUAAAAAAUAUUUACAUUGCAGAAAAUUAGAGAAAAAGAAGAGAUGGCUCCCACAAACUCACCGCAGCCACUGCUCCGCCCUCCCCUUCACUGUUCCCUCACCCUUUGUUUGUUCUGACCAGGGCAGGGCCCAGACCUGGCGAUGCUGCAUCCUAGCCCCAGCUGUGCCAUGACAGGCUCAGAGGGCCCCUGGGCAGUCCCCGGGCUUCUCGGCCUGAGCCGACUCCACUUGUUGAAGGGGUGAACGGUGCCUGUUGUUGUGUGGAUUACGUGAGGGAGUGUGAAACCUGCCCCGCAUGUCAGCGGUGCUGGGGGCGUGAUCAGCAGCAUCCUGAGCGCCGAGUGCAGCCCUUGCUUGGCUUCUCUGCAGUGAAUCCCCCUCCCUGCCUGACAUAGGGGGCUCCAUACUCAGCCAGGCAUGGGAGCGACUUUCAUUUCCUUUUUGUCCACAGCGAGGGGCUGAAAUGGGAGCUGGCUUCAGACCUCGGCUCCAAAGGGUGAACUCCACUGUCCUGUCGGGUACAGCCAGCUGUGGCCAAGGCUGGAGGGGUCCCUGAGACAGGACAGCCAAGAGGCUUCUGGCUUUUGCUGGCUGGACCUGCUGAGAGGACGCUCCGUGCCGGUGGGAGCUUUGCCUGAUUUUACUAGCAGAAGGGUUGGAGGCUCCCCAGAACCAAAGUUUUACGUAGGAAGUAUUACUGAGGCAGAAGCCAUGGCUCCACUGGGAGGGUGAAGCACCCUGUGGCAGGUAACAAAGCAAGCUCCUUGGGCAGGUGCAUCCUGCAAGCCAGAGACUGCACCAGCAUCACGAGCAGCUGGGAGCCCCGUGGCUCAGGCCCGUGGAGCCCAGCCUGCCAAGCAGGGCUUGGCAGGGAGAGGCCGUGUGGGGGUGCUUUGUGGUUGCACGGCUCUGCUCUCAGGUGUCAGGACCUGCAUGGGAGAAGGUCAGGUCAGCCUUGGCCUCAGGCCUCAGCUUAGAUCCUGUCUAUCCCUUGACAACUGUGUGCCAAGCCUGUCACUUAGCCCCGGAGCUUCCGAUUCCUUAGGAGGAAAAUGAGGGACAAUUUCGGGGCCUUUUAGGGCUGUCUCAAAGACCAGGUGAGCCAGGGCGCACAGAGUGCUCAGGACCGCAUCGAGAGUCCUGUGAUCUCUAGAGGGGUGGCACAGCACUGCCCGUCCCAGAAGCCAGGCGCUGUCCCAUCUGCCAUAAUCCAGGGCACAGCAGAUGGGGGAGGGCUCUGGAAUUGGGCAGACAUGGGCGCCGACCCCGCCACAUUGCUUGCGGGUGGUGUGGCCUCGUGCCUGGGCUCCUCCUCUCUCGGUAGGGUAACAGGACUCUGUCCUUGUGGGAUUGCUCUGGGCAUUGAAGGAUGUGGCAUAUGUUCAAGGCAUGGCCCAGUGCUCACCAGCGAGUCCCACGAAGUUGUCAUGGCUACUGGCAAUGAUGCACCCGCAAAGGCCAGUUGACUUGGGCCCCUUCUUCCAGAAGCAGAUUUGGUGUUGUACUGCGAGGCAUUCCUGACCACCUACAGGACCUUCAUCUCCCCAGAGGAGCUCAUCAAGAAGCUGCAGUACAGAUAUCCUUUCCUUCC